rnacentral:rRNA from 1 species
UACGUAGGGGGCUAGCGUUGUCCGGAUUUAUUGGGCGUAAAGAGCGUGUAGGCGGCCAGGUAGGUCUGCUGUGAAAACUCGAGGCUCAACCUCGAGACGUCGGCGGAAACCAUCUGGCUAGAGUCCGGAAGAGGAGAGUGGAAUUCCUGGUGUAGCGGUGAAAUGCGCAGAUAUCAGGAAGAACACCAAAGGCGAAGGCAGUGUCCUGGGGAGUACCUGACGCUCAGGUGCGAAAGCCAGGGGAGCGAACGGG